rnacentral:lncRNA from 1 species
CCUUACUCCCUUCAAACCCGGCGGCUACUGUCGCCGCCAGCCACCACUGCCACGGUAUCCCCUCUGUAGGCCUCGCAUCUGCCUGCCUCUCGUUCCCUCUCUAAAUCAUGAAAAAUCCCCAAAAAUCCCUAGCUUUCUCCCCUUUCAAUUUCCGACGAGAUUACCGCCUGAACCACCAUCUUCUUCUUCAGUCGACAGCAACGGUCAGCCGGACCGCCGUCAUCCUCCCUCAUCUCUCAAGCCUCUAUCACCGUCUCCCUCUCGACUCCGAUGAGCAGCCGCUAUGAAUCCCCGCCGCCUUCACCGCUUCCCUCCAUACUAAUAUAAAGAUUCGAUUUUUCCUCUUCCCUUCCAUUUCUUCACUCGAGCUCCAUCCCUGCUCUCCAACAAGACUUCACUCAAAAGGGUAUGUGGAUAUCAACUCUUCCUUUCUGAAUUAAUGAAUCAAUNUUCAUUAACUGACAUUCCGGAGUUCACGGCGGUCGUGACCACGGUUCGAGCCAUUUUACGUGAGCUUCCAUCGUCCCCUGGCCUGUCGUGCCCAUCGUGCCCACGGGCGGGGGCAAUCGACCGUCGUGGGCACGGUCGCUGGUGUCGACGGGCACGAUGGUGCGAAGAAACGACGGGCACGAUGGUGCGACCACUGCUACAAAAAUACACAUACAUAACACUGCAUACAUAACGGGUUUUUUAAAAAACCGUUAUGUAUGAGCGCAUUUUUAUAAAAGUACAACGGUUUUUACAGAAAUCCAUUAUCUAUGUAGUGUUACUCAUAAGCAUAGAUAACGGUACGAAGUAAUUCGUUAUGAAUAAGCGUUAUCUAUUAGGUGCAUACAUAACGGUGUUAUCGAACCGUUAAGAUAACCGUUAUCUAUGAGCGUAUUUUUAUUAAUGGUUGUUUUAACCGUUAUGUAUGAGCGCUAAAUACUGUUAUGAUUACUUUUAUUAUUAUUUUAAUUUAACUUUAAUAAUAUUAUAAAAAUAAAAACCCUAAUUACAUAAUUCACCUUCUUCUCCAAAGUUUGAAGUCUCACCCACCACUCUCUCUCUCUCUCGCCGUACUCCUAUCUUCUUCUUCUCUCUGCCACAGCCUUACUCCCUUCAAACCCGGCGGCUACUGUCGCCGCCAUCCACCACCGCCAUGGUAUCCCCUCUGUAGGCCUCGCAUCUGCCUGCCUCUCGUUCCCUCUCUAAAUCAUGAAAAAUCCCCAAAAAUCCCUAGCUUUCUUCCCUUUCAAUUUCCGACGAGAUUACCGCCUGAACCACCCUCUUCUUCUUCAGUCGACAGCAACGGUCAGCCGUACCGCCGUCAUCCUCCCUCAUCUCUCAAGCCUCUAUCACCGUCUCCCUCUCGACUCCGAUGAGCAGCCGCUAUGAAUCCCCGCCGCCUUCACCGCUUCCCUCCAUACUAAUAUAAAGAUUCGAUUUUUCCUCUUUCCCUUCCAUUUCUUCACUCGAGCUCCAUCCCUGCUCUCCAACAAGACUUCACUCAAAAGGGUAUGUGGAUAUCAACUCUUCCUUUCUGAAUUAAUGAAUCAAUUGGUAGUUAGA